UCCAAAUUUUGACCUAAAUGUACUUUUUCGGGCUUUUUCGUGAUCUUUGCUAUAUUACGGGGGGAAAAUUAUAUGUUCGGACAUUGUUUUCGAAUAUUUUGCAUGUAUCAAAGCUCUUAUAAACAAGAUAGGGUAUUCCUACAUAGCUGGUGGGACCCACGACAAAUGGAUCAUAAAGUCUUCAAAAAAGAAUAGAUACGAUUGCAUUGCAUGUAGUAACGGAUGCGAUCAUACCAGCACUAAUGCACCAGAUCCCAUCAGAACUCCGCAGUUAAGCGUGCUUGGGCGAGAGUAGUACUAGGAUGGGUGACCUCCCGGGAAGUCCUCGUGUUGCAUCCCUCUUUUUUUUUGGUUUUUCUCUUUUUUUUUUGUUAAAAAUGUAUGACUCUAUAACUUUUAGACCGUGAGGCCAAACUUGGCAUGUGAUACCUUUUCGGAAAGCCCAAAGAGAGCUCUCCGAUGAAUGAGGAAGGAAAAUGGAAUUCUUCUAUUGGUUUUUUUUCUAC
rnacentral:rRNA from 1 species